rnacentral:rRNA from 1 species
AUUGAACGCUGGCGGCAGGCUUAACACAUGCAAGUCGAGCGGAGAGAGGUAGCUUGCUACUGAUCUUAGCGGCGGACGGGUGAGUAAUGCUUAGGAAUCUGCCUAUUAGUGGGGGACAACAUUUCGAAAGGAAUGCUAAUACCGCAUACGUCCUACGGGAGAAAGCAGGGGAUCUUCGGACCUUGCGCUAAUAGAUGAGCCUAAGUCGGAUUAGCUAGUUGGUGGGGUAAAGGCCUACCAAGGCGACGAUCUGUAGCGGGUCUGAGAGGAUGACCGGCCACACUGGGACUGAUACAGGACCCAGACGCGUACAGGAGGCAGCAGUGGGGAAUAUUGGAAAAGGGGCACAAGCCUAGUCCAGCCAUGCCGCGUGUGUGAAGAAGGCCUUAUGGUUGUAAAGCACUUUAAGCGAGGAGGAGGCUACUUUAGUUAAUACCUAGAGAUAGUGGACGUUACUCGCAGAAUAAGCACCGGCUAACUCUGUGCCAGCCGCCGCAGUAA